AAGAUAUUAGUAAAAUAUAAAUUACACCACCUUGUCAAGGUGAAAUUGUAGGUUAAAUCCCCGCAUAUCUUA
rnacentral:tRNA from 1 species